CGGAGUGUAGCGCAGUCUGGUAGCGCACGUCGUUCGGGACGUGGGGGUCGCAAGUUCGAAUCUUGCCACUCCGA
rnacentral:tRNA from 1 species